rnacentral:rRNA from 1 species
UACGUAGGGCGCAAGCGUUAUCCGGAAUUAUUGGGCGUAAAGAGCUCGUAGGCGGUUUGUCGCGUCUGCCGUGAAAGUCCGGGGCUCAACUCCGGAUCUGCGGUGGGUACGGGCAGACUAGAGUGCAGUAGGGGGAGACUGGAAUUCCUGGUGUAGCGGUGGAAUGCGCAGAUAUCAGGAGGAACACCGGUGGCGAAGGCGGAUCUCUGGGCCAUAACUGACGCUGAGGAGCGGAAAGCAUGGGGGAGCGAACAGG